CUGUUUGUGUUUUACCUUCACAUCUAGAUCAUCUGACUUCAUGCUGAACAACACCAGAGAGGAAUACACCAACACCAAGUUGUUGAAGGCUUCACUAGAAAGUCUACGUGGACAGAAACACUUAUGGGGGGCGCCAAGAUCCACAAAAACGAGCAAUCCUGACAGUUACUUUUGAUUCAACAUUUUGCUUGAUAUUAUCAGAUAUUUGGUGAAAUAAUUUAGAUAUGAUCUUUUAUUCUUUUGGUCCAAACAAUUCAAGCGCAAAAUAUUAAAAAAUUGCUACAAGUA